CCCUUAGAUGUUCUGGGCCGCACACGCGCUACACUGGCAGGUUCAUCGAGCUUCAUGCCCUGAUCUGAGAAGAACGGGAAAUCUUUGAACACCUGCCGUGCUUGGGAUAGAUGUUUGCAAUUAUUCAUCUUCAACGAGGAUUGCCUUGUAAGCGCACGUCAUCAGCGUGCAUUGAAUACGACCCUGUAUUCUGUACACACCGCCCGUCGCUCCUACCGAUUGAAGUUUUCGGUGAAUUUACUGGAGAACCCUUUUGAAGGUGGUUCGCCACUGGAAGAAGUAUUCAAAAGUAAAUGAAUCGAAUGCUUUAGAGGAAGGAGAAGUCGUAACA
rnacentral:rRNA from 1 species